rnacentral:rRNA from 1 species
CUGCCCUACGGGAGGCAGCAGUGAGGAAUAUUGGUCAAUGGGCGCAAGCCUGAACGAGCCAAGUCGCGUGAGGGAAGACGGCCCUACGGGUUGUAAACCUCUUUUGCCGGGGAGCAAGCCUGAGCACGUGUGCCCAGGCGGAGAGUACCCGGAGAAAAAGCAUCGGCUAACUCCGUGCCAGCAGCCGCGGUAAUACGGAGGAUGCGAGCGUUAUCCGGCUUUAUUGGGUUUAAAGGGUGCGCAGGCGGGCUGUUAAGCCGGCGGUAAAAAUUCAGGGCUCAACCCUUUCGAACCCGCGGAAAUGG